GUCAGCAAAAAGGGAACCAUACCCGCGUCUGAAACAGUAACAGAUUCAGAGAAUGGACAACACUGCCAGGCAAUGACUUUCCAGGAAUCUGGAUUCAUUUUGCUACAUUCAAGCAGGGUAUACAAGUUCUGGAAGUCCUCUUUCAUGAGUCUCCCUGUGAGACGUGAUGAAAAAUAUGAAUGCUGCUACCAAGUGCCACCCAGCAGAAAACCAGCCUCAUCAAAGCAGGAUGGCGUCCUCUUCCACCUAAUUCACCUGGUCUGGCACCCUGUGACUUCUUCCCCAAAGUCAAAACGACCAUGAAAGGUAAAUGUUUUCAAUCAGCUGAGGACAUUAAGGCAACCACAACAGUGCAAGACAUUCACAUAAAAGGACUUUCAGAACUGCUUCAGGAAGUUAUAAGAAAAGUGGGGCCAGAAUGUCUGAAGCAAGGGGGGAGUAUUUCGAGGAGAAGUGAUGGCAAAGUGUCUUUUACUAUAAUAAAUAUUUUUUAAAA